ensembl:lncRNA
CACACCUGGCAUACUAAGCACCUGAAGAGCCAACACAAAGCCGAUCAGGACAUGCCCCCCACUUUACUCCGCUCUUCCCCCUCACUAUGGCUCCCUUGAAGUAUCCCUUAGAACAGCAAUAGUGAGGUUAUGGCUGCAAUAUCAGUGGUACACUGCUCUACGGUGUCCUCGACAUCGCCCACACGGAGGAGUGUAAAUGGAAGAGACUAUGCUGCUGAGGUAAAUGUCCCUGUGAUCCUGAUUUUCAUUACAAUAUUAUGUCUGGUCCACUGUUUUAAUAUUGUCGCUCGGCCAACCUGUGCUUUUAUGGAUCCUGGGGUUAGGGCUGGCCCUGAUAGUGUUGUUGCCCUAGCCAAGACUUUACAUUGCCCCCCCCCCCCAAACUAUGACACACUAUGCUCUACCUCCAAAUGAUGAUACUGAUCUCACUUCUAUUGAAUACUAAGAUAUUAAUUGAUGUUUGCAUGCUCGUCCAUGAAACAUGACCUGUUGUAUUUCAUUUGAUAGCUAUUUCAAUGUUCAGAAAGGGUAUGGGGUGGUAGUAGAGUAGUUCAGUAAGAGGAUGACGGUAGUGCCAAGUAUCCCUUCCUUUUCACAUUUGAAUUUCAGGAGGACAUAAAAAUGUUUUUAGACGAUUGUGUGUUUGCACAAGGCCUCACAGCUGCGAGCAGAUUUUUGUAAAUCAACCCAUGGUAAGGAGGAGUGCAGUGAAGCAAGGGAUCCCGAGUAAUUGUUGGUUCAUGACCUCAGCAUACAGAGACCCUCCACCUGAAGACCUAACUUCCUGCAAUCACCCGACACUAAAUGUCUUACAUUGAAAUAAA